rnacentral:rRNA from 1 species
CGGUAAUUCCAGCUCCAAUAGCGUAUACUAAAGUUGUUGCAGUUAAAAAGCUCGUAGUUGGAUUUCUGCGGGGACGGAGCGGCCGGACGCAACUUGCGUCUCGAGCUAGCGCUUUCCCCGCAUCCUGCCGCGAACCGUGCUACCAUUAGUUUGGUGGCGCUGGGGAUCGGCUCGAUUACUUUGAGAAAAAUAGAGUGUUCAAAGCAGGCCACACGCCUUGAAUAAGUUAGCAUGGAAUAAUGACUAAGGACUUCGGUUCUAUUUUGUUGGUGUUCGGGACUGAAGUAAUGAUUGAUAGGGACAGUUGGGGCGGUCUGUAUUCCAAAGCGAGAGGUGAAAUUCUUAGACCUUCGGAAGACAAACAGCUGCGAAAGCGCUCCGCAAGGAUGUUCCCUUUGAUCAAGAACGAAAGUUGGGGGAUCGAAGACGAUCAGAUACCGUCGUAGUCUCAACUAUAAACUAUACCAGCUAGGGAUCGGCCAACGUUUAAUUAUUCGACUUGGUCGGCACCUUAUGAGAAAUCAAAGCAUCUGGGUUCCGGGGGGAGUAUGGUCGCAAGGCUGAAACUUAAAGGAAUUGACGGAAGGGCACCACCAGCCGUGGAGCCUGUGGCUUAAUUUGACUCAACACGGGAAAACUUACCAGGUCCAGACAUAGGAAGGAUUGACAGAUUGAUAGCUCUUUCUUGAUUCUGUGGGUGGUGGUGCAUGGCCGUUUUUAGUUGGUGGAGUGAUUUGUCUGCUUAAUUGCGUUAACGAACGAGACCCCAGUCUGCUAAAUAGCGCGGCCGAGCUUUGCUCGGUGCGAGCUUCUUAGAGGGACCAUGAUGCGCGAUAGCACAAGGAAGUUUGGGGCAACAACAGGUCUGUGAUGCCCUUAGAUGUUCUGGGCCGCACACGGGCUACACUGGCGCCUGCAACGAGCAUAUCAGCUGGCCCGAGAGGGUCUUGGCUAAUCUUUUGAACCGGCGCCGUGCUUGGGAUUGACCUUUGCAAUUGUUGGUCAUGCAACGAGGAAUGCCUUGUAAACGCGAGUCAUCAGCUCGCAUUGAAUACGUCCCUGCCCUUUGUACACACCGCCCGUCGCUCCUACCGAUGAAUGUUCCGAUGAAAUUUUCGGAGAGCGCCAGAGAACGGGGCUCUGCCUUGCAGAUCUGGAGGCUCAAAGUCACUUAAAUCUGAACAUUUCGAGGAAGGAGAAGUCGUAACAAGGUAGCCG